rnacentral:rRNA from 1 species
CCUACGGGGGGCAGCAGUGAGGAAUAUUGGUCAAUGGACGAGAGUCUGAACCAGCCAAGUAGCGUGAAGGAUGACUGCCCUAUGGGUUGUAAACUUCUUUUAUAUGGGAAUAAAAUGUUCCACGUGUGGGUUUUUGUAUGUACCAUAUGAAUAAGGAUCGGCUAACUCCGUGCCAGCAGCCGCGGUAAUACGGAGGAUACGAGCGUUAUCCGGAUUUAUUGGGUUUAACGGGAGCGUAGGUGGAUUGUUAAGUCAGUUGUGAAAGUUUGCGGCUCAACCGUAAAAUUGCAGUUGAAACUGGCAGUCUUGAGUACAGGAGAGGUGGGCGGAAUUCGUGGUGUAGCGGUGAAAUGCUUAGAUAUCACGAAGAACUCCGAUUGCGAAGGCAGCUCACUGGACUGCAACUGACACUGAGGCUCGAAAGUGUGGGUAUCAAACAGGAUUAGAUACCCGUGUAGUC